rnacentral:sRNA from 1 species
UAAGUUUAGGAGCAGAUCCCCGGAUCCUUCCAUAGAUACACUUAUCGAAGCCUUUGCCGCCCCGCAAGGGGUCACUACCACGACAGAAAAUAAUGGUACGGCAAGUCAGUAAUGGCAACAUAAUCGAAUUGCGGGGAGCCCUAAAGCCAGGAGUACUAACUGCGAGCAGAAAUGUUUGCAGGGCCCAUGCUAAUCACAUGGGGGAGUAAAAAUCUACCUGGAUGUACAAUGGGUAAUCCGCAGCGAAGCCCCUAAGGCCUAGGCUAUGGGGAACGUUCACAGACUAAGUGAUUAUGGGCAUGAUCCUCAUGCUUAAGAUAUAGUCGGGUCCUUGGGGAAACCUGAGGUGUAAGUCACUACAAACCGUUCCGUAGGUGAACCUGCGGAAGGAUCAUUACAGAGUUCAUGCCCCCCCGGGGUAGAUCUCCCACCCUUGUGUAUCAUUAUAAAAUGUUGCUUUGGCGGGCCGCGAGCCUGGCUUGCCCGGAUGUGACGUCCGGCGUGCCCGCCAGAGGAUCCUAAACUCUGAAUGUUAGUGUCGUCUGAGUACUAUUAAAUAGUUAAAACUUUCAACAACGGAUCUCUUGGUUCUGGCAUCGAUGAAGAACGCAGCGAAAUGCGAUAAGUAAUGUGAAUUGCAGAAUUCAGUGAAUCAUCGAAUCUUUGAACGCACAUUGCGCCCCUUGGUAUUCCGGGGGGCAUGCCUGUUCGAGCGUCAUUAAUACCAAUCUAGCCCUGCUAGGUGUUGGGCUUCGCCACCCGGCGGGCCUUAAAAUCAGUGGCGGUGCUCUGCAGCUCUACGCGUAGUAACUUUUCUCGCUAUAGGGCCUGUGGAGAUGCUUGCCAUCAACCCCAUAUUUUUCUAGGUUGACCUCGGAUCAGG